rnacentral:rRNA from 1 species
CUGCCCAGUGACUAAUGUUAAACGGCCGCGGUAUCCUGACCGUGCAAAGGUAGCAUAAUCAUUUGUUCCUUAAUUGAGGACUUGAAUGAACGGCCACACGAGGGUUUAACUGUCUCUUACUUACAAUCAGUGAAAUUGACCUCUUCGUGAAGAGGCGAAGAUAUCUAAAUAAGACGAGAAGACCCUAUGGAGCUUAAAUUUUAUACCCAAGUCUUAUAUAUCACCCAACUAAGGGCCAUAACACCACCGAUGCCUGGGUAGACAAUUUUGGUUGGGGUGACCUCGGAGUAUAAAUAAACCUCCGAAUAUCUAGUACCUAGACUCAACAAGUCAAAGUAACCUUACACAACCUGUAUCUUAUAAUUUAUUGACCCAAAAAAUUUGAUCAACGGAACAAGUUACCCUAGGGAUAACAGCGCAAUCCUGUUCUAGAGUCCCUAUCGACAACAGGGUUUACGACCUCGAUGUUGGAUCAGGACAUCCCAAUGGUGUAACCGCUAUUAAUGGUUCGUUUGUUCAACGAUUA